GACGAACGCUGGCGGCGUGCUUAACACAUGCAAGUCGAACGGAAAGGCCCUGCUUUUGUGGGGUGCUCGAGUGGCGAACGGGUGAGUAACACGUGAGUAACCUGCCCUUGACUUUGGGAUAACUUCAGGAAACUGGGGCUAAUACCGGAUAGGAGCUCCUGCUGCAUGGUGGGGGUUGGAAAGUUUCGGCGGUUGGGGAUGGACUCGCGGCUUAUCAGCUUGUUGGUGGGGUAGUGGCUUACAAAGGCUUUGACGGGUAGCCGGCCUGAGAGGGUGACCGGCCACAUUGGGCUUGGGGAAGGGCCCGGACUCAUACGGGAGGCAGCGGUGGGAAUUAUUGCACAAUGGGCGGAGGCCGGAUGGAGGAUCGCCGGGUGGGGAAUGACGGCCUUCGGGGUGUAACCCGUUUUCGCGUGUGACGAAGCGUGAGUGACGGUAAUGGGUAAAGAAGCACCGGCUAAUUACUG
rnacentral:rRNA from 1 species